ACCAGUGCAAUGGAAGGAGCUAAAUGAAACAAUUUAUAGUCUAUCAAAUGAUUCCUCUCAAAUCGGUGUAAAUUAUGCAAUUAUUUGUUUCUGUUCUUUGACAUCCUAAAGCAGGAAAAAGGCCAAAUGCUACUCUGAUAUGACACUUUCAGCUUGAUAACCAUUUCUUUUCUUCACUGUCUUCCUUCCUGACGUGGGUUAUUGUAUUGCUAGUUUUCAAAUAUUAUAUAUCCAUGAUAGUUAUAUCUUUAUCAGAUCGGUCUUUCUAGCACCAUUCUCUUCUAGCAACAUUCUCUAUCGUAAUUGCCUUGCCGGCAACAUGUUCUGUCCGAAAGCAAUGACCGUAGUAUGGUAUCCUCCAGGUUUAAGGGUUUUGUCGCCAUUAAUUUCACUGCGUCAAAGUUUCCACAUUCAUAGCAUACCAAAAGUGGAGAAUCUGCCGUAGCUUUGCCCUUCACUUGCUUAACAACGACGACUCUUCUAAGUGGCUCGUUAGUGACUUCAAUUUCGACACGCUUGCUGAUUUACGUGACGUGACACUACAAAAUUUCUCUAGUUUGGAUUUAUUACCCAGAGGCUUAUUUAAAAACAAUUUAUUAGUUAAAGUCAAAUUUAAACAAAUUACUUCAGUCACUUACAUUUAUUCUCGUUCGAAAAACAGUUAGAUUUAUUUAGAGGAAAAUAAAUUAGAAUUUAAUGGAGAGCAUGAGAGGUUAUUUGUUUAAGCUUCACGAUUCAUUUGAAAAAUAUUAAACUUGAAAAAUGGAUAUGGGUCGAGACUCAAGUCAGCCUAAUCCGUUUUUUAAUGUUUGUAAUGUUAUUUUUAUAUAUUAUAUAAUUUAUAACACAAAAAUAAAUUUAUCCUAAAUAUUUAAUACUAUUAGAAUGUAAAUAUUAAAAAAUUUUAAUAAAUAAAAAUAUAUAAAAUUGUUAAAUACUAAAUUAAAAUAAUAUAAAUAUACUUUAUAAAAAUUAAAAAUAAAUAAUAUGACCAGGUCUAAAUGAGCAUGGGUUAACUAUUUACAAAUAUGAGCUAGUUUAAAUUCAUAUUUCAUGCUGGACCAAACUUUAAUAAAUAUAAAAUGUAUUAAUUAAUAUCAUGUUUAAAUUCGAUCCAGAAAUGUAUUAACUAUGGGCAGCGGUGGCACGUGGAUUAGCGACCAAUAGCUGACUGCCUACAUACGUUGGUCUGGAAAUCUAGAACUCUAGCCUCAGUUCAUCAAAUUUGUGUAAUUGGAUGAUGGGUAAAUCGCAAGACUGAGUUGGGAUCGUUGUCUGGAAUCUUAGAUGGAGCAUAUUAUGGGAACAAAGGAAUGCAUUCCUUUUCAAGAACCAGAAUUUCAGCCGUGUGGACGUUAUUACGAAAUGCUUUCAGUUGGGUGAGGAACAUUAUGCGGAUGGCAGAAGUACAAGCGGGCUGCCUCUUUCAGCUUUUGUUGGAGAACAUCAGGGGGUUGUAAGCUAAUAGAGUUGCUUAUUUUAUGUCGAGACUGGCAUAUGAUCCUAAUGGAGUCUUACAGCGAUUUGAUCAGCCACCUCAAGUUUGUGGGCUACUUACACAUGAUAUUAGUGGUUUAUUGAUUUCUAAUGGUUUAAUGGUAAAAGUGCCCUCCACCUCCUGUAUUAAAAGUUAAUGUGUAUUUUAUUUUAUUUACUUAAAAAUAUAAGUAAGUUAAUUUUCGAUUAAACAGUAAAUUAGUCCUAUUAAAAAAAUCAAUUUAUUUCUACUAUUAAAAGCUGAUAUGGAUGGCAAAGCAAUUAGAUAGUGACACAUGGCAUGAUACGUGUAUCGCAUGCUAACAUUUAAGAUAAACUUCAACAACCUAAGCAAAACAUUUGUCUAAGUUUAUUUUGCCCAUGGCUUUUCAAAAUAAUUAUAAAGAAUUAAAAAUAUAGAAAAUUAUUUAAGAAUUAUAAGAAAUUCUUGAAAUUAUUAAAAACUAAAGAAAAGUGUUUAAAAUUUAUUAAAAACAAUUUGGCUACUAUUGUGUUUUUUUUUUAAUAUUUUCUCUAAGAUUAUGGACUUAUCCUUAUGUUUUUAACUCUUUUUGCCUUCAUUUGGUAAGUAUUUUUUAUUUUUAUUUUUGUAAAAUAUUUUCUAUUUUAAAAAUUUGAAGAGCAUAUUUAUUAAAUAAAAAUAAAAAUUUGUUUUCAUAGUGAAAACACAAACAUGUUUGGUACUUAUUUUUAUAUAUUAAAAAUAUGAGAAGUAAAAUAAAAAAAAUUACAUUUAUAUGGAUUUAAAUUAGAGUACUAGGUUUAAUAUCUGAAAAACUAUUAAUAAAAGAAUAUUUUUGCGUUUAUGUGUUUGAACUAGGAUUUAUUCAUAUGAAUUCAUAUGCUUCAUUUGGUUCUAGUGUAAUAUUACGAAAAAAAACUUAUUUAUUACAUAUGUAUUACAAUAGUUAGACAUAAAAUAAAGAAUAACGAAUACAGAUUUAAAGUUGAAAUCAAAAAGCUGAGUAAAGACUCUUGUAAAAAUCAAUACCUCUUUAAAAUAAGUAAAAAUUUUGUCUCCUCUUUGUUAGGGGAAGCCGAAAUUAAAUUGUAAUUUUUACGAUAGUAAAAAUGUGAUUUCACCGUUUGAACAACCUAUAUUUUCAUAUUUUUUAAAGGAUUAAAUCAAAAUUUUAUCAUUUUAGGGGGUAAAGUACAAUUUUUCCUUUACUAAUUUAAAAUUUUAAAAAUUCUAAAGGAUCUAAAUAAAAAAUUUUCCAUUUUAAGGGGGUUGGGCCGUUACCAGCCUCCCUAGAUACGCCCUUGUCAUGAAAGUAACUAAAUAGUACCAAUUAAAUUAAUUUAUUACUAACUCAUAUAUUAAAAUAUAUGUAAAAAAUAAUACCGUAAUUACUAAACGAAUCAUUAAAAUUGAAAACAUUUGUUUUCAUAUAGCAAGACCAAAGCUCCUUCUCGGCCAAUUCAAGAACAAGGAACUUGAGAAGUAACAAGAGCAAGGGCCUCAUUGAGCACGACCAAAGCUCCUUGUGGUUGAUUGUGAGCUUGUGUUUCAGGCCUAAACCACCUCAAAGGUUAUUCUGAUGAUGGUUGAUGCUUUUUUUUUUCUUUUGUGUGAAAAAGUAUCAUGUGAAUGCAUUAGAGGGUAGUUACAGUAGUAGAAGCCUUUCGACAUCGGAUUUGGUUUUUCAAUUCAUGAUGGGUAGUGGUUGAACAUGACUUAAGAGGGUGAGAUCAUGAUUUGUUGUGGUCUCUCAUUAUCGUGUUGCUUUGUUUUGUUCUUUUUCUUUUUCAGUGUAAGAAGGUUGGUAUUCAUUAAAAAAGAGAACAAGAAAGACUUGGAAAAAGCAAUAGCCGCCUACUUUGGCCAUUCCCAACACCAAAAAAAAAAAAAAAGGGAAAAAUUAAAAGUGCAAAACCAAAGAGAACUAGCAAGACUUAUGGAUGAAACCUCAAACUCUUCUCACCGAAAGCCUUGCAUCAUUGAAAGAAAUACGAGGAAAUUACAUGCAUGGAACGGAUACCCGAAGAAGAAGAAGAAGAAGAAGAAGAAGAAAUGUGUUCCUAUAAAGGCGAUUCAGACAGAUCGAUCCACCAGUGAUUUGCUUUCAUGAAUGGCACCUCCUCUACCCCAUAAGUGCUACAUUAAUUUGUUGCUAAAGCCCUUUCUUGUGUUCUAAUCCCUACGUGCAUGGUUGAAUUAACACUUUGCAAAAUUCAUACAUAAAGAUUUUUCAUUUGCAUCUUAACAGCCGUUUUGGAAUCCCAAUUCUAACAUGAAUUGGGUGGCAAAAGAAUGAGGAAUAAUUUUGUUCUUAUAAACUAAAGAAGCCAUGACUAGACCAUCAUGAUUCCUAACAGUGAUGCAUGUGUACUAUAUUGCUUUGAGGGUGCCUUGCAAAAUUAACAUUUACUAAAGGUUUUACUGGAGGCGACCACCUCUUAGUUUAUUGUAGCAACGAACCUGGUUCAAUAUCCAGCAAUGAGUCUAAUUUUAGAAUGUAGGCUUGAAACAAAAGUACUAAUUUUUUGAAUUGAUUGGAAAAUGCUUUUAUGAACCAGUUUGUUUCUUGAAAACUAUAACGCUCGUAGCGAUUGUUAAAUAGGUGAUCUAACUACUCAUUAAUUAUUUAAUGUUUAACUAAUAUUAAGUUGCAUUAUGUGAUUAGAUCAUAAAAAAUCCUUGGUCUAAUCGAAAUUGAGAAAAUCGACUAGAAGACUAUUAUAUUGUCUAUCCAGUCCAAUUGAGGAGAUAUCUUAUAUUGGACAUCAGAGCAGAUAACUCCAGAACUUAGAGAUAGGUAUCGUUGUUUAGACUGACAAUACAUCUAAUAGGAUCCUAGUCGAAUUUAUCCUAGAUUCGUUUAUAAAUUAUUCACUUGUGGCAUUCAUAUUGUGACAUACCUUAAUCCUGAGUGAAUAAUGAACUAUGCAUGCGUGAUUUGUAUACUUUUAUGUAUUGAAAACUUGAAUCCAAAUAGAUAAGGAAUCGAAAGCUAGUAUGUUGUGAAUAUGACUUCCGCAUGAGAUAACGUUAUUCCACAACAAUGGAAUCAUAACCCUAUAAGGGUAAAUCAUAUACUAUAGUGAAAUGACUUCAUGAUUAAAGAAGUUUAAUUAAUAGGUGAAGACCUGCAAACUUAAUUACAAAUUAUUUGAGUCUUAAUUAUAUAUGUCAAAUUUGUCCCUCCGCUAGCUCGAGAUAACCUAAAACGAAUUGCAUUUAAAACCCAUAAAUUGUGGAAAUGAAUGAAAAUAAUAAACAAAAGAAAUAGAUCACAUGUAUCAUUAUCCACAUUGAAUGUGUUUUCUC
rnacentral:lncRNA from 1 species